CGCACGGGUGAGUAACACGUAUCCAACCUGCCGUCUACUCUUGGACAGCCUUCUGAAAGGAAGAUUAAUACAAGAUGGCAUCAUGAGUCCGCAUGUUCACAUGAUUAAAGGUAGUUCCGGUAGACGAUGGGGAUGCGUUCCAUUAGAUAGUAGGCGGGGUAACGGCCCACCUAGUCUUCGAUGGAUAGGGGUUCUGAGAGGAAGGUCCCCCACAUUGGAACUGAGACACGGUCCAA
rnacentral:rRNA from 1 species